rnacentral:tRNA from 1 species
CUUUGAUAAGCUUAUAAUGGCAAGCAUUAAACUCUUAAUUUAAAUCAAAGUGAUCUCACCCCCCCACUAUCAAAGA